rnacentral:tRNA from 1 species
CCUUCGAUAGCUCAGCUGGUAGAGCGGAGGACUGUAGAGGUGCCCGCCCUUGGUUAUCCUUAGGUCGCUGGUUCGAUUCCGGCUCGAAGGA